rnacentral:rRNA from 1 species
UACGUAGGGGGCAAGCGUUGUCCGGAAUCAUUGGGCGUAAAGCGCGUGUAGGCGGCUCGAUAAGUCCGCUGUGAAAGUCCAGGGCUCAACCCUGGAAGGCCGGUGGAAACUGUCGGGCUAGAGUCCGGAAGAGGCGAGUGGAAUUCCCGGUGUAGCGGUGAAAUGCGCAGAUAUCGGGAGGAACACCAAUGGCGAAGGCAGCUCGCUGGGACGGUACUGACGCUGAGACGCGAAAGCGUGGGGAGCAAACAGG